GUGGCGUGGCCUGGUUGUAGAGCGUCGGCUCUAGGUUGAUGGUUGGUUUUCGUUUUUCUGUUCUGCUGUGGUUCCUUUUGCUGUUGUGCAUGUGGAACGUGGUGUCGGUUUAUUAUUUUGUGGAAUGUCAUCAAGGGGGCAGGUGUUGUGAAAUGAUGUGUUGUUUUCCUGUGUGA